UACGUAGGGUGCGAGCGUUGUCCGGAAUUACUGGGCGUAAAGAGCUCGUAGGCGGUUUGUCGCGUCUGCUGUGAAAAUCCAGGGCUUAACCCUGGACCUGCAGUGGGUACGGGCAGACUGGAGUGCGGUAGGGGAGAUCGGAAUUCCUGGUGUAGCGGUGAAAUGCGCAGAUAUCAGGAGGAACACCGGUGGCGAAGGCGGGUCUCUGGGCAUUAACUGACGCUGAGGAGCGAAAGCAUGGGGAGCGAACAGG
rnacentral:rRNA from 1 species